CCUACGGGAUGCAGCAGUGGGGAAUUUUGCGCAAUGCUCGUAAGAGUGACGCAGCGACGCCGCGUGAAUGACGAAGGCCUUCGGGUCGUAAAGUUCUUUCGACAGGGAAGAAAAUGCCUAUAAGUAACUGUGUAUGUAUUUACGGUACCUGUAUAAGCAGCCCCGGCUAACUCCGUGCCAGCAGCCGCGGUAAUACGGAGGGGGCGAGCGUUGUUCGGAGGGACUGGGCGUAAAGAGCACGUAGGCGGUGUUGUAAGUCAUUAGUCAAAGACUAGAGCUCAACUUUAGUAAGGCUAGUGAUACUAUAAUACUAGAGUAUCAGAGAGGAUUGCAGAAUUCCUGGUGGAGCGGUGAAAUGCGUAGAUAUCAGGAGGAAUACCGUUAGCGAAGGCGGCAAUCUGGCUGGAAACUGACGCUGAGGUGCGAAAGCGUGGGUAGCAAACAGGAUUAGAUACCCUUGUAGUC
rnacentral:rRNA from 1 species